GAGACAAGAGAAGAAAGAGAUAAGAGAGAAGGGGAAAGAAGAAAAGGAAAACAGUAAAAAAGGAACAAUAAGUGAGAGGAGGAUGGAACCCAAGGGACAGAAUUCAGAGCUGAGGGCAGAGAAGAUGAAGCCAGAAAGUACGAAUACUUGAAGAAAUUGCAGGCCCAGAGGUGAGAGACUGGCAUGAUGAGAACUGGCACACAGUGUGUGUUCACCUGAUUUCAGCUUGAAGAAUACAUAGAGCAGAGCCUCCUGGCGGGGUCAUCAUGGUAAACAAGGUCCAGGGUAGGAUGCCAGGCUGCCAGGCUGCCGCCUCUGCUAGAAUUUGCUCCAGUACCAGGUGGAGAGAAGGGGUGAGGGGUGGCCCAACGUCACUACUGACCAUGCCUGAGGCCUCUCAGCAAGACGUGGGGGAUCGUGCUUUUCCUCACCUGCCACACGCCUGGUGUGCGGUGCCCCCCAUGGAAAUGUGAAGGGACUGUGUGGCAGGAAACACAGGUGAUGGGCUGGCCACAGUCCCCUCUUUAGACAUAGUCACAGCUUGGCGUUGUGGCAUUUUCCUGCUUGGUACUAGGACUAUCAUGGUGAUGAACAGAAGAACGCGCUGCAGAGAUUGAUUUUUUUUUUCCUAAAGCCAGUCUAUUGUUUUCUACUGAUGGGAAUCUGAAGCACAACAAGGACAAGAAGAUAAAGUCUCACUUGGGGAAAAGUAACCACUGUUACCAUUCUGGCAUGUGUUUAUCGCGUCUGUGUAUGUGUGUGUGCACGGGGCUGUGUGCAUCUCUCUCUCUCUCUCUC
ensembl:lincRNA